rnacentral:rRNA from 1 species
AAUCAACGCUGGCGGCGUGCCUCAGACAUGCAAGUCGAACGAUUAAACUUUCCUUCGGGGAAGAUAUAGAGCGGCGCACGGGUGAGUAACACGUAAGUAAUCUACCCUUGGGUGGGGAAUAACAUCGGGAAACCGAUGCUAAUACCGCAUAAUGCAGCGGCUUCUUAUGAAGACAGUUGUUAAAGCAUUUAUGUGCCUGAGGAGGAGCUUGCGGCAGAUUAGCAGUUGGUAAGGUAAUGGCUUACCAAGGCGACGAUCUGUAGCCGACCUGAGAGGGUGGUCGGUCACACUGACACUGAAUAACGGGUCAGACUCCUACGGGAGGCAGCAGUCGGGAAUUUUGGGCAAUGGGCGCAAGCCUGACCCAGCAACGCCGCGUGAAGGAUGAAGUAUUUCGGUAUGUUAAAACUUCGUAAAAAUAGGAAGAAUAAAUGACGGUACUAUUUGUAAGGUCCGGCUAACUACG